GACGAACCGAGCGAACGUUAUUCGGAAUCACUGGGCUUAAAGGGCGCGUAGGCGGGCUGCCAAGUCAAGGGUGAAAGCCCCCGGCUCAACCGGGGAAGUGCCUCUGAUACUGCCGGACUAGAGUUCGGAAGAGGCGAGUGGAAUUCCCGGUGUAGCGGUGAAAUGCGCAGAUAUCGGGAGGAACACCAAUGGCGAAGGCAGCUCGCUGGGACGUUACUGACGCUGAGACGCGAAAGCGUGGGGAGCAAACAGG
rnacentral:rRNA from 1 species